GAGGGUAUAGCUCAAGUGUAGAGUGUGUGCUUUGCAUGCAUGAGGUCCUAGGUUCAGUCCCCAGUACCUCCU
rnacentral:tRNA from 1 species